AUUGAACGCUGGCGGCAGGCUUAACACAUGCAAGUCGAGCGGGGGAAGGUAGCUUGCUACCGGACCUAGCGGCGGACGGGUGAGUAAUGCUUAGGAAUCUGCCUAUUAGUGGGGGACAACAUCUCGAAAGGGAUGCUAAUACCGCAUACGUCCUACGGGAGAAAGCAGGGGAUCUUCGGACCUUGCGCUAAUAGAUGAGCCUAAGUCGGAUUAGCUUGUUGGUGGGGUAAAGGCCUACCAAGGCGACGAUCUGUAGCGGGUCUGAGAGGAUGGUCAGCCACACUGGGACUGAGACACGGCCCAGACUCCUACGGGAGGUAGCAGUGGGGAAUAUUGGACAAUGGGGGGAACCCUGAUCCAGCCAUGCCGCGUGUGUGAAGAAGGCCUUAUGGUUGUAAAGCACUUUAAGCGAGGAGGAGGCUACUUUAGUUAAUACCUAGAGAUAGUGGACGUUACUCGCAGAAUAAGCACCGGCUAACUCUGUGCCAGCAGCCGCAGUAA
rnacentral:rRNA from 1 species